GCACAAACAACCGAUCGCCCUUGGUGAGGAGGAUGCCUUCCUCUUGCCAAAAGCUCCUUGUCUUUCCCUCGAGCACCUUCUCCAGCAAAUCCUUUGCUAGCGGAUCCUGUUGGAGGCCUUCCUUGAUGCGUGAGACCAGUGUUAUGAAAGGCGCUCGCUACAGCGCUUUUAGCGCGUAGCGAGGCGAUGCGAAGGGCUGACGCCACAGGAGCAGUGUGGCGAGGCGAUCCUGGUUAGCGCUCGCAACAGCCUGUGUUGCGAGAAGCGAGGUGAGGCGAGAGGCGCAGGGAGGCGACGCUAUUUUGACAGUGCUGGCUAAUUAAAACACAUCAGCAGCUUUAGUGCUUUACAAAUUACAAAAACACAAAAACUAGGGUUUUCACUCUACAAAGGAAAAGCAGUCGACCAGCAAAAAACACAGCAGCAGCCAGCAAAUCAUCUUCAUCUUGCUUCUUCUCCAGGUAUGUUCAUCUUCUUUCUUCUUUCUUCUUUCUUAAGGUCGGACUUCGGUUGGCUCAUGCUAAGUGUUGCCAACUCUGCCUUGCAGCUUAGAGCGUCCACAAAGACAUUGGCUUUCCCCGGCUUGUACUCGAGCCGAUAAUCGAAUUCCGCAAGGAAAUCUUGCCACCUUGCUUGCUUCGGACUCAACUUCUUUUGUGUUUGAAAGUAGCUUGUCACUACGUUAUCCGUCAGGAUCGUGAAGUGUGAGCCAAGCAAGUAAUGUCGCCACACUCUUAGGCAAUGGAUGAUGGCGGUCAUCUCCUUUUCUUGCACCGUGUAGCGUCGUUCCGUAUCAUUUAGCUUUCGACUCUCGAAUGCUAUAGGGUGGCCGUCUUGCAUGAGGACUCCUCCUAUGGCAAAAUCCGAGGCAUCUGUUUCUUUUCUUGUACCGUGUAGCGGCGUUCCGUAUCAUUUAGCUUUCGACUCUUGAAUACUAUUGGGUGGCCGUCUUGCAUGAGGCUCCUCCAAUGGCGAAAUCCGAGGCAUUUGUUUGGACUUCGAAGGGCUUCGUGUGGUCCGGAAGUGCAAGGACGGGUUCCUCCGAAAUUGCNNN
rnacentral:lncRNA from 1 species